UUUUGCUGUCUAAUCUGUUUUGUGUGUGUUGCUUCCUCUUUAUGUUUUGCAGAUGGAAUCUAGAUCCGGCGCUUCAAAGAAGAGAAAGGGAGGGAACACUUCCCGUCCCGUAACAAUACAGUUUGAUACCGACAAAUUUGUCGGGCCGAAGCAAGCCGCAAGGUACAUUGCUUUGGAGAAGCGGAAAAUUCUACCGGAGAAGAGAUUCGUCAUCAACCCUGAAG
rnacentral:lncRNA from 1 species